UACGUAGGGUGCGAGCGUUGUCCGGAAUUACUGGGCGUAAAGAGCUCGUAGGUGGUUUGUCGCGUUGUUCGUGAAAACUCACAACUCAAUUUGUGGGCGUGCGGGCGAUACGGGCAGACUGGAGUACUGCAGGGGGAGACUGGAAUUCCUGGUGUAGCGGUGGAAUGCGCAGAUAUCAGGAGGAACACCGGUGGCGAAGGCGGGUCUCUGGGCAGUAACUGACGCUGAGGAGCGAAAGCGUGGGGAGCGAACAGG
rnacentral:rRNA from 1 species